rnacentral:lncRNA from 1 species
AAAGGUAGGAGGAGAGUCAGGAAACUGAUAGUGAUAACUCAUGUUUCUUCCUUAAGCGCUUCUACAGAAAAGCCUGAAGAGUUUAUGUUUGGAAUUUGGAUUAGCAAAAGAUACUCAAAUAGCAUGCAAAUGGUAUGUGUCAAGUUAUGUAAUGUAACCAUUCAAUAUGUUAGUGUGAAAAAAGAAAAUGGUGCCAAAAACGCGGUUUUACUUGGUCAAG